UAAGUCUCAGUUCGGAUUGAAGGCUGAAAUUCGCCUUCAUGAAGCCGGAAUUGCUAGUAAUGGCAGGUCAGCAUACUGCCGUGAAUACGUUCCCGGGCCUUGUACACACCGCCCGUCACACCAUGAGAGUUGGGAAUACCCGAAGCCUGUGAGCUAACUUUUAGAGGCAGCAGUCGAAGGUAGAAUCAAUGAUUGGGGUGAAGUCGUAACAAGGUACC
rnacentral:rRNA from 1 species